rnacentral:rRNA from 1 species
GAAAAGAAACCAACAGGGAUUGCCCUAGUAACGGCGAGUGAAGCGGCAACAGCUCAAAUUUGAAAUCUGGCUCUUUUAGGGUCCGAGUUGUAAUUUGCAGAGGGCGCUUUGGCGUUGGCAGCGGUCCAAGUUCUUUGGAACAGGACGUCACAGAGGGUGAGAAUCCCGUACGUGGUCGCUAGCCUUCGCCGUGUAAAGCCCCUUCGACGAGUCGAGUUGUUUGGUAAUGCAGCUCUAAUUGGGUGGU